CGCGGCUGAAAAAUCGCGAAGUACGCAGAACGGCCCCGGAAAAUCCGGGGCCGUUCUGCGUACCGAUCGAUUUUUCGCCGAUA
rnacentral:pre_miRNA from 1 species